rnacentral:rRNA from 1 species
UACGGGGGGAGCAAGCGUUGCUCGGAUUUACUGGGCGUAAAGGGCGCGUAGGCGGUCGUGCCAGGUCACUUGUGAAAUCUCCGGGCUUAACUCGGAACGGUCAAGUGAUACUGUCGGACUAGAGUACAGAAGGGGCAACUGGAAUUCUCGGUGUAGCGGUGAAAUGCGCAGAUAUCAGGAGGAACACCGGUGGCGAAGGCGGGUCUCUGGGCCGAUACUGACGCUGAGGAGCGAAAGCGUGGGGAGCGAACAGG